UUUUUUAAAAUUAAAAAAAAGGGAGGAAAAGAAACCAACAGGGAUUGCCUCAGUAACGGCGAGUGAAGCGGCAAAAGCUCAAAUUUGAAAUCCUGCGGGAGUUGUAAUUUGAAGGAGCAGGGUCUUUGUGUUGUACGCGCCCAAGUCCAUUGGAACAUGGCGCCUGGGAGGGUGAGAGCCCCGUCCGGCGUGGCACAGCACAAUCUACGGCCUUGCCCCGAAGAGUCGAGUUGUUUGGGAAUGCAGCUCUAAGUGGGUGGUAAAUUCCAUCUAAAGCUAAAUAUUGGCGAGAGACCGAUAGCGAACAAGUACAGUGAUGGAAAGAUGAAAAGCACUUUGAAAAGAGAGUGAAACAGUACGUGAAAUUGUUGAAAGGGAAGGGCUUGCAAGCAGACACGGUCUUCGGGCCGGGCCAGCAUCGGUUGCCAGGGGUGGAUAUCCCGCGAGAAAUGUGGCUUUGUCCUCUGGGCAAAGUGUUUAUAGUCUCGCGCUGUACACCCACCGGCGACCGAGGCCUGCGAUCUUCGGAUCUAGGAUGCUGGCGUAAUGGUUGCAAGCCGCCCGUCUUGAAACCACGGACCAGGGGGAGGGGGGGA
rnacentral:rRNA from 1 species